rnacentral:RNase_P_RNA from 1 species
CGAGUAAGUCGGAUGAACGCGGGUAGCGAUACCUGAGGAAAGUCCGGGCUCCGCAGGGCAAGGAUGCCGGCUAACGGCCGGUGAGGGCGACCUUAAGGAUAGUGCCACAGAAAUAAACCGCCGCGAGGCGACUCGCGGUAAGGGUGCAACGGUGCGGUAAGAGCGCACCGGCGGGCGGGAGACCGCCCGGCCAGGUAAACCCCAUCCGGAGCAAGGCCGUAUGGCAGCUAUGGGCGGCCCGUCCGCUGCUUUGGCCGCUGGAUUUGACCGGCGACGGUCAAACAAGACAGAUGUUCAUCUAUUACAGAACCCGGCUUAUAGAUUUGCUCGAUCG